UGGGGAAUUUUGGACGAAUUGGGCGAAAGCCUGAUCCAGCAAUGCCGCGUGUGUGAAGAAGGCCUUCGGGUUGUAAAGCACUUUUGUCCGGAAAGAAAUCCUUGGCUCUAAUACAGUCGGGGGAUGACGGUACCGGAAGAAUAAGCACCGGCUAACUACGUGCCAGCAGCCGCGGUAAUACGUAGGGUGCAAGCGUUAAUCGGAAUUACUGGGCGUAAAGCGUGCGCAGGCGGUUUGCUAAGACCGAUGUGAAAUCCCCGGGGCUCAACCUGGGAACUGCAUUGGUGACUGGGCAGGCUAGAGUAUGGCAGAGGGGGGUUAGAAUUCCACGUGUAGCAGUGAAAUGCGUAGAGAUGUGGAGGAAUACCGAUGGCGAAGGCAGCCCCUGGGCCAAUACUGACGCUCAUGCACGAAAGCGUGGGGA
rnacentral:rRNA from 1 species